GAUCAGCUGGCCUCACACUCAGAGGCCCACCUGCCUGGGUCUCCUUCCACCUGCCUGUGUCUCCUGAGUGCUGAAUUUGAAAUUUUAUGCAAUAUCAAAGAGUGUAUUCUUUUUUGCAUUUGUGUGGAAUGCUGUGUGUGUGUGUGUGUGUGUGUGUGUGUGUGUGUGUGUGUGUGUGUGUGUACACAUGCAUGUUCUUAUGGGCCUGAGGUUGGUGUUGGGUGCCUUCAAGGCCUCUCACUUGAGUUGAGAGCUCAUUGUUUGGGGUAGCUUGCUUCCAAGAAUCUGUUUCUGCCGCCACACCCAUUCGGCAUUUCUGGGGAUCAGAACUCUGCUCCUCAAGCUUCAAGGUAAACACUUCUGGCUGAGCCAUCUGCUCAGCCCUAAGAGAGUAGUUAUGUUUUGUUUUGUUUUGUUUUUAUGAGCAUUUUUUUCAACGAGGUCACAACUUUCAUCAAAUUAUUGAAGCUCCUGGAGUUUAAAAAAAAACAUAAAAAGUAAAGAAUCUACUGCUUUUGAUAAGUGAGGCUUCAACAGCAGACGUUUGCUUAAUUCUGGUUUCUGUAGACUUGCAGACCCAGCAGGGAGAAGAGAGUUCCGAAGGCUUAAUUACUCAAAUCCUAACUUUCUUCUUACAAAGAAACGAUAUGGACAUAAAAACUGGGGUGCUUUUAAAUGUGCACGUAGAUAAUAUGCAAAUAUGAACUUUUAACAUCACCCCCGUUCACUUGCUGAUUCCUCCAGUUUGCCUCUUUUUGGGACCCAUCCCAGGUGGCCAUAACGAUAGAGCCCGACGGCACGAAAAGCAACCGUGUGCAGAAAGGAUCUCAGAUGAGAGAGACCACAAAUGAUAACUCAUACUGCAAAGAUUAGAGGCUGCCUUUCCCAUCGGCAAAGCUGUCUAAGUCCCCGAGUGCCCUUCGUGGCCUAAGACCAUGUUCCUGUCAGACCUUGAGCAUGGUGAGGGUGAGGGUCCUUGCUCCCUAGUUGGGGAAAGGCUCCUAGGGAAGUCAACAAGCACUGUUUGUCAGGAAAGAACCCUGGUCAGCGGAUGUGCUUUUGCUCUUGGUGGGUGGAGACGAUGGGUUUCUGUAGGCUGAUAGACAAGUGGAUAGAGGCCAUGUCCUCAUCUCUUCUCAGAGUCUGCAACCCACGAGAGGUCCUUUGUGUCUGGACAUGGCUCAACACUUGACCCACCAAGAAAAGUUUUCAGGUGAAGAGGGCUACACCCUGGAAGAGCUACAGUUUGGUUUUGGAUUUAGAGGCACUGUGAACCCUUAAAGUUGCAGAACAUACACGGGGUGAGAGGAGGCCCGACCUGAAGUGAGGCCGUAGGGACCACGCUUCUCAGUGAGGAAAUACGGUGCACCAAAGGUAAGUUUUAGAACAUUUUAAUAUCCUUUUUUUUUCAGUGGAUGCAUUUUGAAAUUCUUAGAAUUAACAAUUUAAAAAGAGCAGAGCAAAGGAAAAUGCGGGAAUACAAACAGUCAGCUUUUGCUAACAGAAUUUCAGGUUCUAGGCUCGAUGCAAUUUUCAAAACCACCAAUCCAAAAAAAAAAAAAAA
rnacentral:sRNA from 1 species